ACGAGGAAGAAAAUGAUGAAAUUGAAAUUGAUACUGAUGAUACAUCUAAUAACGAUGAGGAUGAGGAUGAAAAUGAGCUGGAUUUGGCGUGGCAAAUACUCGAUUUUGCAAGGGUAAUUUCUGAGACAAGACCAACUCAGUCCAUGAGUAAUGUGUAUAUUCUGUGUGCACUGGGUGAAGUUAAUUGUUACAGAGAGGAUCUCAAAACUAGCCUCGAGGAUUAUCUCAAGGCAUCACAGAUUUUGGAGAGUCUAGUUGAACCAAACUUAAUGGAUAGAGCUAGUCUAUACUUUAAUAUGGGUUUGUGUCUUGAAGUGGCAGUGAUGAUAAAAGAUGCUACAUUGUUUUUUGAUAAAGCUCUAAAUUGUUG